rnacentral:rRNA from 1 species
GACGAACGCUGGCGGCGUGCUUAACACAUGCAAGUCGAACGGAAAGGCCCUGCUUUUGUGGGGUGCUCGAGUGGCGAACGGGUGAGUAACACGUGAGUAACCUGCCCUUGACUUUGGGAUAACUUCAGGAAACUGGGGCUAAUACCGGAUAGGAGCUCCUGCUGCAUGGUGGGGGUUGGAAAGUUUCGGCGGUUGGGGAUGGACUCGCGGCUUAUCAGCUUGUUGGUGGGGUAGUGGCUUACCAAGGCUUUGACGGGUAGCCGGCCUGAGAGGGUGACCGGCCACAUUGGGACUGAGAUACGGCCCAGACUCCUACGGGAGGCAGCAGUGGGGAAUAUUGCACAAUGGGCGGAAGCCUGAUGCAGCAACGCCGCGUGCGGGAUGACGGCCUUCGGGUUGUAAACCGCUUUCGCCUGUGACGAAGCGUGAGUGACGGUAAUGGGUAAAGAAGCACCGGCUAACUACGUGCCAGCAGCCGCGGUGAUACGUAGGGUGCGAGCGUUGUCCGGAUUUAUUGGGCGUAAAGGGCUCGUAGGUGGUUGAUCGCGUCGGAAGUGUAAUCUUGGGGCUUAACCCUGAGCGUGCUUUCGAUACGGGUUGACUUGAGGAAGGUAGGGGAGAAUGGAAUUCCUGGUGGAGCGGUGGAAUGCGCAGAUAUCAGGAGGAACACCAGUGGCGAAGGCGGUUCUCUGGGCCUUUCCUGACGCUGAGGGGCGAAAGCGUGGGGAGCGAACAGGCUUAGAUACCCUGGUAGUCCACGCUGUAAACGGUGGGUACUAGGUGUGGGGUCCAUUCCACGGGUUCCGUGCCGUAGCUAACGCUUUAAGUACCCCGCCUGGGGAGUACGGCCGCAAGGCUAAAACUCAAAGGAAUUGACGGGGCCCCGCACAAGCGGCGGAGCAUGCGGAUUAAUUCGAUGCAACGCGUAGAACCUUACCUGGGUUUGACAUGGAUCGGGAGCGCUCAGAGAUGGGUGUGCCUCUUUUGGGGUCGGUUCACAGGUGGUGCAUGGCUGUCGUCAGCUCGUGUCGUGAGAUGUUGGGUUAAGUCCCGCAACGAGCGCAACCCUUGUUCACUGUUGCCAGCACGUUAUGGUGGGGACUCAGUGGAGACCGCCGGGGUCAACUCGGAGGAAGGUGGGGAUGACGUCAAGUCAUCAUGCCCCUUAUGUCCAGGGCUUCACGCAUGCUACAAUGGCUGGUACAGAGAGUGGCGAGCCUGUGAGGGUGAGCGAAUCUCGGAAAGCCGGUCUCAGUUCGGAUUGGGGUCUGCAACUCGACCUCAUGAAGUCGGAGUCGCUAGUAAUCGCAGAUCAGCAACGCUGCGGUGAAUACGUUCCCGGG